rnacentral:lncRNA from 1 species
GGAGUCUCCAAGACAGUCCAACUCAGAAGUUCAAGGUUGCAGACCUUUUUCCAUACAGAUAAGGGUACCAAGAAUGGUGAAAAUGUUGGACACACCGCGCUUUGGACAGCAUCUGACACAUAGUUGGUGCUCACUCACAAAGUAGGUGUUCAGUCAUUGCAGUGGCCUCCUCCUUUAGCCAGACCUCCCUUCCCAUGGUCAGGGUGUGUGUGUGUGUUCCCCUGGAGGAUGACUCUGGAGAGACAAAACAUGGGACACAGAGACCACCUGCUGGGCCCCAAGAGCCAGGGUCAGGGGCAAGGGCAUCUCAGAUGCCUGGGUCCUGACCUCUAAACCAGUGUCUUUCCUGCAAGUGAAGAUGGGAAAGAACCAAGGUUCCUGUGGACACCAGGCACAGUGACUCACACCUGUAAUCCCAGCAACUUGGGAGACCAAGGCAGGAGGAUGGCUUGAGCCCAGGAGUUUGAGACCAACCUGGGCAACAUGACGGGACUCAUUUCUACUAAAAUAAAAUAAAAUAAAUUUGCUGGGUAUGGUGGUGUGCACCAGUGAUCCCAGAUACUCAGGAGGCUAAGGCAGACAAAUUGCAUGAGCCCAGGAGGUUGAGGCUUCAGAUUGCAG